CAAGACUCCGAGGCGAGAACAGAUGAGGCUAGGAGGAGUAGGCGACACGCCAGCGGCAGUUCUCUGGGGCCGAAGAAUUCUACGGACUUCUCAGCGAGGCACCGAAGGCCUCACAGUUCUCCAGAAACAAAAGCCAGAACUGGUGAAGGACACAAAAAUCAUGGGUGGCUUAUGGGACAUUUCUCAGCUCUAAGGAGAGAACUAUCAGGAGUGAAAACGACAAAAGCAAAAAUAAAAACAUGACCCGGGACUAGACUCUGGGUCUUGGGUCAGCAGAACCCAUUUUGGAGCAGUGCGAAUGGAACAUUCUGUCUUCUACCCAGGCUCCGCCUUUACGCUGUUUAUUGGAAAUUCUUUUGCCCGGCUCCGUCUUUUAAAGCCACCGCCUACUUUCCGCAGGAGGAUGGCUCUCUGAGCUCCAAGUUCCCUCUUCCUCGGGGACUCCAUAGUAUUUUUUCACGCUUCGUCGCUACUACAGCGGACGCCUGCCUUCGCAUUAUUUGCCGUACCGGCCUCCGGUGCCUUGACUGUAAACAAAACGCUUUAGAUCAUAGCAAGGUCGGUGUAAGUACAGCCUUUCUGCUGGCAGCCAGACGUCUUAAGGUGGCGUGACUGUGACUCGUUUACUUUUCAAGAUUAACAACGCGACAAAAUGGUGGUCCUACAUAUUAGUUGAAGUAUUCAGAUACGGGAUAGAAGAAUUAAUUUUUUUUACUUUUAUGUAAGAUAUUAAUUCCACGAAUAAAAUCAAACAUUAGUGGCAAGGUGUAACACUCCAUUUCCAUGGAUGUGGUAGCUUGUGUAUUUGUGCAUCUGAAUUUAUGCUUACUUAUAAUACAGAAUUUAGGUGUAGUCUAGUGAUUAUGUAAAAAUUUCAACAACAAUUAUCUAAUUUCAAGAAUGGGUAUAAAUUUUGAUACUGACACCUACCCUAAUUUUCCUGUCCCUCUUCCCCUCUUCUCUAAAUCAGUAAAUUAAGUGGGGCUUUAAAUGUAGAAAAAUAAAGAUGCGACCUUUUACCUUGAUCCCAGGUGAAAUAUUUUCUGUCAGUCAGAUAAGUAGUUCUGACUUUGAAACAAGUCUUGGGCACUGCCUCCCUCACUGCUCUCUGGGUACCACACCUACCCUUCUAGAGCCUGCAUUUUAGUCAGAUUAGUGCAAGGUCAUACUAAAGGCCAGUGAGAGCUGUAUUUAAAUAUCAGAGACCACAGACCACAUCAAGGAAGCAUCUGCAGGCAGACCAGGGCAUGAGAAGGAGCCAUUUUGAAUCCCUUGUAAGAGAGGAGGACCUGCAGGUUAUAAUACAGGCAAAUCCAGAAUCCAGACAAAACCCCCUACCAUCAAGGAAAGGAACAGAAAAUGAACUAGCUUUAGAGUCAGGAGACCUGCUUCUUCUAGUCUUGGCUUUGCUACCAAUUAGAUAUGUGUCCCUGGACAGGAAACCUCUCCAAGUCUCAAUUUCCUCAGUGGUGAAAAGAGAGGGUUGACCCACAGGGUUCCGAAGGUCCCGCCCAGCUCUCACAGUCUGUAGUGUACGAAGUGAGGCAGGCACACAAAGUGGACACACAAUACGUGGUUAAGAAAACAAGUUAGAAGUCAACUCAUCUGUAGCACAGAUGCCUAAGAAAACAUUGCUGUUGUUUACUAUUAGAACUGGAGAUUAGUUUCCAGUAAAAUGUGUAACUUUGAUCCAGGCCAAGAUGGGGGGGGUGGAAUAGGGGAAGACAGUUAAAGACCCUUUGAGCUCUGUCUCAGAUAAAAGCCCUAAGCAUCUUGUUUUAACUCACAUCACCUUGCUCAAGAUCAUAUUGAUAGGUAAAUUUCAAGCUGCAAAGGGGAGUAGAGAGAUGCCCAAAUAAUAAUUAUCAGACGUGAGGACGCGGUUGUGGUGGUUUCUUAAAUCACUUCACAUUCUGGACUUUCCGAUUACUUUCACUCUUCAACGACUUGUAGCCCUCUAAAAGCGUUCACUCGCAUCUGAAUGUUGUUCUGGGUGGACUGGAGAAGUGAGUCUGGUGGGAGAAAGGUGGAGGAAGGAAGGAGCUGUUGUAUUUGGCGGCGGGACUCAGGUAGAGGAAACUGCUACAACCCGGGAAAGGAUUGAAAAAUACAAAAACGAGACAAGUUCCCACACGCAGCCUGUUAGUGGCCUUAACUGUGCUUGGGAAGCAAGAACCAGGGCCAGGGGUGUAACCUCGCUUUUUAAAACUAAAUGUGUCUGAGAUGGCUACAAAGUUUAUUAGAGACUCGGGAGAACAGUGGAGUUUUUGAUCUUGAAAUCCUUUCUUAUUUUUAUUGAGGGAGCGCUGGGGUUCAGAAUACAUUACAAAUGCUGCGUCUAUUCCAAGCUAAUUUAUAGAAAGACGUCCUCGUUGGCUUUCCCCCUAAGCCCCGUGCCUCCCCUAGAAUAGCACAUACUUCUAGGUUAAAAGUGAGCUAACCACUGCGCACCCCCAGCUACUGGACCCAGGCAGAGGGGCUCCCCGCACCCCUCCCCCGCACCGCGAGCGGUUGGGGCCCCGGGGGAGAGCCCAGCUGGGGGCAGAGAUCCCACCAUCCGCCUCGCCCCCCAGCCUCCCACCCCCACCCACUCCCCCGCUCGGCAAAUUCUGUGGGG